UACGUAGGGCGCAAGCGUUGUCCGGAAUUAUUGGGCGUAAAGAGCUCGUAGGCGGCCUGUUACGUCUGCUGUGAAAUCCCGGGGCUUAACCCCGGGCGUGCAGUGGAUACGGGCAGGCUGGAGGCAGGCAGGGGAGAACGGAAUUCCCGGUGUAGCGGUGAAAUGCGCAGAUAUCGGGAGGAACACCGGUGGCGAAGGCGGGUCUCUGGGCCGAUACUGACGCUGAGGAGCGAAAGCAUGGGUAGCGAACAGG
rnacentral:rRNA from 1 species